GCUCCAUGCUGAAUCUCUGUUGAGAAGACCUGCCAUAGGAGAUUGCUUCCUUCGGGAUGUUGAGGGAUGCAGCCACUGCUUUGGCAGGUUUAACCGAGAGCUGCUGUUUCAUACUCACUCUGUGCCAUAAAGAACACUUGAUGAGUGCGGAGGUGAAUAACAGCUGCCCACAGAGGACUGGGGAAACAGCUACAACAACUGCUAUUAAGAGGUAGUUCAGGUGAGUGGCUGAUGGCAGGGAAGAGCAGAGCAUCUUUGAACUAC